GAUCCGGGAGGCCACCACCCGCCAGCGAGUUUCGCCCGCGGGUGCGUUUUGC
rnacentral:sRNA from 1 species